rnacentral:misc_RNA from 1 species
CAGCCAUCGAAAGCCUUUAGUUUCGAAGAUUAAUCGUCGAUACACAAUGGCACAAGGGGAAAGGGUAAAAGAUGUAUUAACAAGAACGUCUUGAAGAUCAAUGAAAUGGGAUUAAGACAUUUUUUACAAAGCGCUAUUUAGCUAGAUUGCUUUGUGUAUAACGUCAGUUAACAUAUGGACUCGAUUCAGCGUCCAUUCAGCGUUUACUGGCCAAUCU